AGUGAACGCUGGCGGUAGGCCUAACACAUGCAAGUCGAACGGCAGCACAGUAAGAGCUUGCUCUUACGGGUGGCGAGUGGCGGACGGGUGAGGAAUACAUCGGAAUCUACUUUUUCGUGGGGGAUAACGUAGGGAAACUUACGCUAAUACCGCAUACGACCUACGGGUGAAAGCAGGGGAUCUUCGGACCUUGCGCGAUUGAAUGAGCCGAUGUCGGAUUAGCUAGUUGGCGGGGUAAAGGCCCACCAAGGCGACGAUCCGUAGCUGGUCUGAGAGGAUGAUCGGCCACACUGGAGCUGGGACACGGUCCAUGCUCCUACGGGAGGCAGCAGUGGGGAAUAUUGGACAAUGGGCGCAAGCCUGGUCCAGCCAUACCGCGUGGGUGAAGAAGGCCUUCGGGUUGUAAAGCCCUUUUGUUGGGAAAGAAAAGCAGCAGGUUAAGACCCCGCUGUUCUGACGGUACCCAAAGAAUAAGCACCGGCUAACUUCGUG
rnacentral:rRNA from 1 species